AAUAAUUGAAACAGUUUUGUGUGUCCUGCCGAAUGUUCAGCAGUUCAUCCCUGGUGAAACUGUACUGUUUUUGGAGGACGCACUACACAAUGACAAUUCUUGUGUUAAGCUUGAAGGAGAUGACAGUUAUUUUGUUGCCCUCGACAGCUCGAUGGCCAUUGAGUACAUCCAUUCCAAAAAUGUCAUCCAUCAAGAUUUAAAGCCACCCAAUAUUUUGAUCGACCAGUUCUCAAAAAAGGCUGUACUGACAGACUGGGGCCUUGCCAACAUCAGAGACACGGUUGUACUACGACAAGGAAGCAGACUUACUGGAGGAGGAAUAGGGCCAAUGGGUGAAACCUUUCUUUAUAUGGCGUGUCUGGUUGAAUUUGAACAGGCUUCCAGAAGUUCUGACAUCUGGUCUCUGGGAGCAACAUACCUGGAGAUUUUCACGAAAUCAGUGCCAUGGACAGUGAAAAACCAAAGAGAGUUGUGCAGUCUAAUGGCCAAAAAGGUGCCACCACAUGCUUUACAACAUCUGAGCGACAAGUACCAGUUUAUUGGUACAAUGUUACACUAUGAUGUAGCAUCGAGACCUGAAGCUUCCUCUGUGGUGCUGUCCCUAAAAACAGUGGAGGGGCCAGAUUUAAAGAGCCGUUAUGGUUACGAAUGGUAAAUGUUACAGAUUAUCACAUGGACUGUGCAAGUUGUCAUUUCAGUUUGUAGUACAAAAACCAAUGUUGGUAAAAUGUUAACAUUAUAAUCACAGCCGUUCUCUCUCUCUGUCUAACACUGCUGGUAUGUUUCAUUAUUUGUUUCAAUGUAUGUUCACAUCAUUAAACAUGUUUUGCAUCUUCAUUUGUAGCACUUUUUUAAUAAUUUGGUCCCUUUAUAUGUAUUUAUUUUGUUGAUGAGCAGUUAAAAAGUCCCUGUCUCAUUGGCCAGCAGUUGGUAUAUUUAUUGCAUGCAUUAUAAUAUAUAAAUCCAUUUAUGCUCACAUGCCUGGUUAUGUACUGAUGUGCCCACUCUGAAGGAGUCUCGUCCUUGAUCACCAGACUCCCGGAAGUGAAAUGCCACUUGCAUCUGUCCGACGAGAAGAUUUUCCUUUCCUCUGUCUGCCCUUAUGAAUCGUGGGCAACCUAUAAUAAAUACAAGUAAUAUUUUCA
ensembl:lncRNA